UCGUAGUCCUUCACCUCAGCCAGCCAGUAGAUGACUAUUUUAGGCUUGUUCCUGGCCACAUAAUUGAGCUCCCUUCUGAACCCCUCAAUGAUGGUCAGCUGGCCUGCUGCUAUGCCUGCUUCCUCCUGAGUCUCCCGCAAGGCCGUUUCCAAGUCAUCUUCUCCUGGUUCCACAUGGCCUGGUUAGGAAAAAAGAGGAAAAGGAGGAAGAGAUAAUCUUUAGCAAAGUGGAAUUUUCAGGUCCCAGCAGAACACAAUUUGGAGAGGUCCUUUGAAAUCUUUCAGUGAGAGGUACUAAGCAGUAUGACUUUGGCAACCAGGAGACAAGUGUGAAUAUUUCUAUUCAUAGUAUUUGUGACACUUCUGUCCCUUUCUUUCACCUAUUUCUCCUUAGUGAAACACAAAUGUGCAAAGUUUAUUUCCUAUUCCCCUUUCCUUAUUUUCCUCCCACCCUUGAUCCUUGUUCGCCCCUCUCCCAUGGCACUCCCCUUUAAAGCCCCUGCUCCCUUCUAUCUUGGGACCGUUCACUCUGGGCUCCUGACCUGUAACCCAGUAAUGACUUGACCCCAAGGUCCCCAAUUCCCAGCCCAGUGCCUUUUCUCCUACCCAUUUACCACAGAGGCUGGUGCUUCAGUGAGUGAUAGUCUCUCUCUCUCUCUCUCACACACACACACACACAAACACACACACACAUGCUGCUCUGCUCCGGGAUUCAAUCACAGAGUACUAUUUCCAGCUCCAGGCUGGCAUGGAGACCACGUAUGCAGAAAGGAUCAAGGGUUCCUGCCUACCCCACCUCCUUCUGCUGCACAGUCACUGGGACGUAAGCCUUAUGGGGGGCCUGGUAAGGUGGCUUUUCAAGCAAUGCUCGGCACUUGAGAGCCAGCCCCCUCUGCCUCACACCUUUGGGAGGAGUCCAGUGAUGAAUGCCAUCUGACGCCUGCAGCAGUAGAAACUCAAUUGUGGGAUUCUCCACCUUGGGAAUGAGCCGUCUUCGGAAGAUGAUCAAGCCACACGCUCUCAGGGCCAUGGUCUAUCUGAGGAUUUAACAAAGAAGAUGUGAGACAUUGGAAGUUACAUGAAACAGGAAAAUGCAUCCUGGGGGCAGCAUCUGGUACUGGGGAGUAGCACAGAUCAGCUAACAGUGACCUCAUCAACUACAGAAAAAGGCAGCAUACCAAGGACCAGCUGGAGAAAGCCAGGAAUCAGAGACUGAUUUAAAAGAAUGUCAACAACAAAAGACAGAAAGGGAGAAGAGUAGGAAUAUCUGCAGCAGCGAAAAAACAAUUCAUUAUCUGAAGGGGGACACGUGGGAUCCCUGGGUGGCGCAGCGGUUUGGCGCCUGCCUUUGGCCCAGGGCGCGAUCCUGGAGACCUGGGAUCGGGUCCCACGUCGGGCUCCCGGUGCAUGGAGCCUGCUUCUCCCUCUGCCUGUG